UUUCCUGAGCUAUUCAGAGGUGUGUCCAGAGAAGCUUGCUUGAUUUUUUCUGCUGAUGUCAUUACAAGCAGAACAACCAGAGAAUUCACCGAAUCAAACCGUGGUCUUUAGCAUUUGAGACAUUUUAAGAGAUACUGUUCAAUCUCUUUUCCACUAGAGAGGGAAAGAGAGUGAACCAGCUCCCGCUUAUUGGAAAAAGAAGAGUUUAAGGGAAUAGGGUGUAUCGGCACCUUUAAGAAAAAAUUUAAAAUGGGAGGAGUCCUGCUUCACAACUCCCCCUAACUAGGUCAAGGUCAGGGUGGUACAAGAGAGAGAUUAAAAGGAGCAGUGGUUCUAUGGUCAUUACAGG